UGAGUGUGCUGAGCGGUUGCGCGUGCAUACUGAAAAGUUACACGUGAGGAAAGUCCGAGCUCCAGAGAGCAGUAUAACGGUCAAUGGCCGCCGAGGGUAACCUUAGGGAAAGUGCGACAGAAAGUAACCGCCGUGUUAGCGGCAAGGGUGGAAAGGCGAGGUAAGAGCUCACCAGCGUUUAGGGAACUAAAUGGCUACGUAAACCCUAUACGGAGCAACACCGUGAGUGCGCUUAAUGAAUUUGCUCGAUUCGCGCACAGAGGUGGCAGUGAGUUGGUAUGGUAACAUUCAACCAAGAUAGAUGAUCGCUUUUAACAGAAUUCGGCUUAUAGGCACACUUAUUAA
rnacentral:RNase_P_RNA from 1 species